rnacentral:lncRNA from 1 species
GUUCAACAUCACCUUCAUCAUCAAACUUCAAGGGUCUCAAAGACAGCUUUUCACCUGGACAUUUAGUCGGUUCUGCCAGCAACGGAGCUGAGAUCUCUUGGAAACUGCAGUGGAUGGAGUGGAAGUUGCCAAAGGUGAGUCAGCAGGGAGAGAGACAUGGCCAGGAGUCAAAACGAAACUUUCUUUGAAAUGCCAUAAUUAACCUAGCAUUGUGUAUGUGAUUUAAAAAUGAUUUUAAUGCAUUUUUUUAAGAAACAUGUUCUGUUUCUUGGAGCUAGUGUGCACUUGCCCUCACCUGUAACUGCCAAUUUUGUGGAAAGAAGAAAUCUGUCAAUCUUUCCCACCAUUUGCCAUCUUUGUUUCAUUUCCAAUAGUUACCAUCCAGCUCCACUGGUGGAAGAGUCCUGUUGCCAUCACUGGCUGGCCGUCCCUCCUCACUUCACUGAAAAUGCUUCCAGCUCCUAUGCCUUCAGGUAUUACCUCCGUCUGGAACAAAGUCCCGAGUGCCCAUCUGUUGUUUCUCCUGAGAAUCCUCUUCCCCCAUUUUUCAUCACCUACCUCCUAGAGUGCCUCCUAGAGAUUAUUCAUACAUCCCAAACUCAACUAAAAUCAAAGUAUUUACUUUUAGAUUUUCUUUCCCAGGAUGAAUCUUCUUGUCCGAAUUAGUUCCUC